rfam:Brassica napus, WGS project CCCW01000000 data, contig: 6104
GGAAUAUAAAAAACCGUCUCUUAACUUUUAACUAAAAAAACUAAGAACCGGCUCUUAAAUAAGAGUUUUAAAAGAAAAUUUUUAGUUUUUUUAGUUAAAAGUUAAAAGACGGGUUCUUAUAUUCC